GGUUGGGUCGGGCCGGUUGAUUAAAAAAACAUUCCUCAGACAGUGAAGGUGCAGUAUUUCUGGCCCGCUCAGUCGUUAAUGCCCAGCUCGACGUAACUUCGAGAGUAAUUAGGAAACGGUAACCGGAUUUUCAGGUUAAACUCCCCCGAGUGACCAUGCUGACCGAAGGGCAGAUCGUCAUCGCAGCUUCCAGAUUACCUCUUAACGCUAGAACAACCGGCAGAUUUUUUUUGUAUAGUAGUAUAGUAGUAUCUUGGUAGUUCUAGUGUUAAAAAGCCAGAGGAAGGUAAAAAGGAAACGAAAGUGCGAGAAGACAUUCUGUAGAGCACUUUGCAUGGAUUUCUUCGCACGAGUGUCUUCCCAUCGAGCAAGAACGAAGUGGUAACCCCAAGGAAAGCAGUCGCAUGGGUGCACUAUGGUGUCCGAUGAACAUUAGAGGUAUUUAGAUGUUACGUCGAAUGUAGAAAAGUAAUCGUGGAAAGAAAGAACGAGGGGAGAGCCUCGCGUCGAGACUACGGAAUAUCGAAAGUGUCAGCGAAAGGCUCAAGAGAUCCAAGGCCUGCGAAGGUAUUUUCUCCUCUGUAAAUCUUUGCGUUUCGACGUGUAAUUUUCAUACUUUAGCGAUUACUUCCCCGGGCCGUCCUCUUAGGGUUAGUUCCUUGGCUCGGCACGCCGUCGCUCGUGGUAACUUUCCAUUGAAAUUGCAAAUCCCAAACCAGUUUCAACGUUCACCCAGUUACUUGGUCAUCUGAUUUCCGCGUGUUCAGGGUUCAACGCACGAGAAGUCGAUGCGAGAACUGGAGAAGACCGAAACGAGAGCAGCCAUCCGAUGAGUGACCGAGGCUCUAAAUGAGCUACGAUCGCGAUGGAAUUAUCAACGAAGGACAAGCUUGGAAUCAAGAGAGCCUGAAGUCCCACGUAUUGCCAACGCGAAAUCCUUCGAGGACACCGGGAAGUAUGAAGUCCAAGUGAAUUUUGCGAAGAAGCGUUUAGCAUAUGUCAAGAGUGAGGAAGAUCGACGUUUGGAAAUUUAGGACGACCCGGAAAGGAAAGGAAGUGUCGUCCAAAAACCGACCCCUAGGUCAAGGUCCUCUUCAGAGCCGAGUUUCGCCCCGACGAUUCCGACAUCUAAUUUUAAUUUCAGCGUUUACUGGGAUCCCUACCUCGGGAAAAUUGAUAAUCCCGGGUCAAGAGUCGCCGGACUCGCCCACGGCCACCCACGAAGAGCCGACCCAACGUCUUCCCUCCGACGUCGCGUGGAAUCCUACCGGGCAGCACCCGCCUUUAAAACCGGAAGUCCGGCUAUUUCCAGACCCUAUCGCAUUCCGGUGCGGACCUAUUUUCGCCGGGGGUCGAAUCCCCUGCAAAGUGACCCGAGGAUGCUCUCCAAGACCUCGGCUUAGAUCUCGGAGGACUAAAAUCUCCGCUACACAGAAAGUCUUCGCAAACGUAACCUCCUUAAGGUGAAGUGAAACACGUCGAGGAACUUGAUCAACGUCGAUAAAGAAGAUUUUUCUAAAUGCCUACGUU